rnacentral:lncRNA from 1 species
GAAAAUGUCUAUACAUAUUAUGGCCAGAAUGGUCACACUGUGGAUGUCUGUUAUAGGAAGCAUGGAUAUUCGCCCAGCUGGGGAACAUGAAUAGGAAAUGCAUAUACUAAUAGUGUUGGAACUGAUGCUCAAGAGAUCAAUACUAUAAGACCCUAAUUUUGACCCUAAGAUCCCUCAUGCUAUCUCACCAUAUGCAUUAACAUUGGAAUCAC